GGGGAGCUGGAUCAAUUGGUAGAUCACCGCUUUUUUAAGCGGAUGGGUCGGUUCAAAUCCGACGCUCUCCA
rnacentral:tRNA from 1 species